rnacentral:lncRNA from 1 species
AUGAGGCAGCUCCUGCCGGCUCUGCAGCGCACUGCUGCUGCCCCCAGAGAGGCGAUGUUCCCAGCCGAGCGCAAGGAGAGGCAAGAGCGAAAUCAAAGCAGCGUGGAGGAGAGAGAGAGAGGCAGAGAAGGCGAGAAAGAACGAGAGAGCCAGACUGAAUCUGGCUCCACCAAUGGGAUCAGUGGCUGCCCAGCGUCAGGACAAGCUGCCCUCAGAAGAAGUCCCUCUAACACACCCCUACUUGGAAAUCUCUCACUUGAAUGCAGCCCCCAAACUUUAGGAGGCUUUGCUACCACCAAAGGAAAACUCCAGGGAUGCCACUGUGAAGAACACUCAAGGAAAUUUGAAUCAAGCAACCAACAGUGA